rnacentral:ncRNA from 1 species
AUCUAUCUUCGGGGCGGAGUGCAAUUCUCCACCGGCGGUGAUGAAGCAUUGCUUCAAAGCCCGCGAGCUCUUCGGGGCAGAUUUGGUGUGAUUCCAAAGCCGACAGUUAUAGUCUGGAUGGGAGAAGAUGGGG